rnacentral:tRNA from 1 species
GGGAAUAUAACUCAACGGUAGAGUGUAUGCUUUGCAAGUAUAAGGUUAUUGGUUCAAAUCCAAUUAUUUCCA